AUGCAAGUCGAACGGCAGCGCGAGAGAGCUUGCUCUCUUGGCGGCGAGUGGCGGACGGGUGAGUAAUAUAUCGGAACGUGCCCAGUAGCGGGGGAUAACUACUCGAAAGAGUGGCUAAGACCGCAUACGCCCUACGGGGGAAAGGGGGGGAUCGCAAGACCUCUCAGUAUUGGAGCGGCCGAUAUCGGAUUAGCUAGUUGGUGGGGUAAAGGCUCACCAAGGCAACGAUCCGUAGCUGGUUUGAGAGGACGACCAGCCACACUGGGACUGAGACACGGCCCAGACUCCUACGGGAGGCAGCAGUGGGGAAUUUUGGACAAUGGGGGAAACCCUGAUCCAGCCAUCCCGCGUGUAUGAUGAAGGCCUUCGGGUUGUAAAGUACUUUUGGCAGAGAAGAAAAGGUAUCCCCUAAUACGGGAUACUGCUGACGGUAUCUGCAGAAUAAGCACCGGCUAACUACGUGCCAGCAGCCGCGGUAAUACGUAGGGUGCAAGCGUUAAUCGGAAUUACUGGGCGUAAAGCGUGUGUAGGCGGUUCGGAAAGAAAGAUGUGAAAUCCCAGGGCUCAACCUUGGAACUGCAUUUUUAACUGCCGAGCUAGAGUAUGUCAGAGGGGGGUAGAAUUCCACGUGUAGCAGUGAAAUGCGUAGAUAUGUGGAGGAAUACCGAUGGCGAAGGCAGCCCCCUGCAAUAAUACUGACGCUCAGACACGAAAGCGUGGGGAGCAGACAGGAUUAGAUACCCUGGUAGUCCACGCCCUAAACGAUGUCAACUAGCUGUUGGGGCCGUUAGGCCUUAGUAGCGCAGCUAACGCGUGAAGUUGACCGCCUGGGGAGUACGGUCGCAAGAUUAAAACUCA
rnacentral:rRNA from 1 species